rnacentral:rRNA from 1 species
UACGAAGGGGGCUAGCGUUGCUCGGAAUCACUAGGCGUAAAGCGCACGUAGGCGGAUCUUUAAGUCAGGGGUGAAAUCCCAAGGCUCAACCUUGGAACUGCCUUUGAUACUGGGGAUCUCGAGUCCGGAAGAGGUUGGUGGAACUGCGAGUGUAGAGGUGAAAUUCGUAGAUAUUCGCAAGAACACCAGUGGCGAAGGCGGCCAACUGGUCCGGUACUGACGCUGAGGUGCGAAAGCGUGGGGAGCAAACAGGG